rnacentral:rRNA from 1 species
GCGCACCAGUCGCGAAUAGUCUACAAUGGACGAAAGUCUGAUAGUGCGACGCCGUGUGUGCGAUUAAUUCCUUCGGGAUGUAAAGCACUUUUCUAUGAGAUAAAAGCUCUUUAGGUUAAUAGCUUAUUGAGACGGAUAUUAUUAUAGGAAUAAGCUCCGGCUAACUCCGUGCCAGCAGCCGCGGUAAUACGGAAGGAGCGAGCGUUGUCCGGAUUUACUAGGCGUAAAGGGCUAGUAGGCGACUAAUUAAGUUAUAUGUUAAAUCCCACGGCUCAACUGUGGUCCUGCAUGUAAUACUGGUUAGAUAGAGUACUGUAGAGGAAGGCAGAAUUCCUGGAGUAGCGGUGGAAUGCGCAGAUAUCAGGAAGAAUACCAAAAGCGAAGGCAGCCUUCUGGGCAGUUACUGACGCUGAAUAGCGAAGGUGUGGGUAGCGAACAGGA